rnacentral:rRNA from 1 species
GUGCCAGCAGCCGCGGUAAUACAGAGGGUGCUAGCGUUAAUCGGAAUUACUGGGCGUAAAGCGUGUGUAGGUGGUUAGAUAAGUUAGAUGUGAAAUCCCCGGGCUUAACCUGGGCAUUGCGUUUAAGACUGUUUAGCUUGAGUACUGUAGAGGAUAGUGGAAUUUCCAGUGUAGCGGUGAAAUGCGUAGAUAUUGGAAGGAACACCAGUGGCGAAGGCGACUAUCUGGACAGAUACUGACACUGAGACACGAAAGCGUGGGGAGCAAACAGGAUUAGAUACCCUGGUAGUCC